UACGCUAUAACGACGAUUAUAACGACACUUUGCACACGAGCUAGAGGAGUGGUGUGCGUUUCCCAUAUUUUUCUCGACUCCGAGAAAGUGCUUCGAAAAGUGCUCCGAAAGUGAAAAAUAAUUACGACGUUUGAAAUAACAAGUAAGAUCAUGGCUAUCGAAUACCUUGCUUGGAAUGUAUUCGUUCUUGAGGAAAGAUUACGUCGACUCGAACGUCGUGUGGAAAGAAGGCGACUGAGAGAUGCUCAGAAUCCUUUUCAGCUACCACGAGAAGAGUUUCUCAGCCUUUUUCGCCUGCCUCAAGAAGCUGUGAUGAAUCUUGGUUAACACCUUAAGCGCAGUCAAAGCGAAAAUAUUUUUCACUGUUCAGCAAAGCAGCAUAGGUGAUGCUGGAUAUCCGUUGGAGCCUUGGCUGUUAACACCUCUGGCCAAUUUUCCUGAAGAUACGCGACAACAUCAAUAUACACAACAACUAUGUUGUAAGGCUAGAAGCGUCGUCGAGCGGUUUUUUGGAGUUUUUAAAUCUGUAUGGAGAUGCUUGUCAUACCAGCGAGUCUUGAUGUACGAACCAGCGUUCGCAGCGAAAAUUGUUAAUGCGUGUGCAGUACUGCACAACA
rnacentral:lncRNA from 1 species